AAAGGUUUAAGGAAAUACAGGCAUGCACCACAUUACUACAACACAGCUCAAUCAAGCCUGAUGGUCUUGCCCUCCAUUGCCAAACCUGAAGCCCCCUGUCCCCAGCAGGAAAGACCAGGAAAAAGUGUUGGCUUAAGACCCACUGGAGAAACGAAUGGAGAGAGGGGAUGAGAAACGCACGAUGGGGAGAUAUUCUGUUG